CCUAGUAACGGCGAGUGAACCGGGAAGAGCUCAAAUUUGUAAUCUGGCGUCCUCAGGGCGUCCGAGUUGUAAUCUACAGAAGUGUUUUCCGUGCCGGACCGUGUCCAAGUCCCUUGGAACAGGGUAUCAAAGAGGGUGACAAUCCCGUACUUGACACGACGACCGGUGCUCUGUGAUACACUUUCUACAAGUCGAGUUGUUUGGGAAUGCAGCUCAAAAUGGGUGGUGAAUUCCAUCUAAGGCUAAAUAUUGGCGAAAGACCGAUAGCGAACAAGUACCGUGAGGGAAAGAUGAAAAGCACUUUGGAAAGAGAGUUAAACAGUACGUGAAAUUGUUGAAAGGGAAACGAUUGAAGUCAGUCGUGACCUCUGGAUUCAGCCGGCUUUGCCGGUGUAUUUCCUCUGGUCGGGUCAACAUCAGUUUGGACCGAUGGAUAAGGGUGGCGGGAACGUGGCACCUCCGGGUGUGUUAUAGCCCGCUGUCGCAUGCAUUGGUYUAGACUGAGGGAUGCAGCUCGCCUUUAUGGCCGGGGUUCSCCCACSUUCGAGCUUAGGAUGUUGACAUAAUGGSUUUAA
rnacentral:rRNA from 1 species